CUACGGGGGGCACCAGUGGGGGAUAUUGCACAAUGGGGGAAACCCUGAUGCAGCAACGCCGCGUGAAGGAAGACGGAUUUCGGUCUGUAAACUUCUAUCAGCAGGGAUGAAAAUGACAGUACCUGACUAAGAAGCCCCGGCUAACUACGUGCCAGCAGCCGCGGUAAUACGUAGGGGGCAAGCGUUAUCCGGAUUUACUGGGUGUAAAGGGUACGUAGGCGGCUUGUUAAGUCAGAUGUGAAAGCCCGGAGCUCAACUCCGGGACUGCAUUUGAAACUGGCGAACUAGAGUACAGGAGAGGAAAGCGGAAUUCCUAGUGUAGCGGUGAAAUGCGUAGAUAUUAGGAAGAACACCAGUGGCGAAGGCGGCUUUCUGGACUGUAACUGACGCUGAGGUACGAAAGCGUGGGGAGCGAACAGGAUUAGAUACCCUGGUAGUC
rnacentral:rRNA from 1 species